rnacentral:lncRNA from 1 species
AUGCUCAGAGCCUGGUUCAUGGUCUGGCCGGCCGAAUGGGAAUCCACACCACCUGUGGUGCUGUGCUUCAUUCAAGAUACAAAGGCUGAAGCACCCCUCUCUAAGCUGCACCUCAUGAAAUCUCCCAUUCUCCCCUGCUCUACUGAGAUACAACUUCACAAGGCCGUUUUGUCAAGAAGUCAUUUAACUUUCAUUUGGAGCCUUGGGACUACCAUUUUUCUCAGAGGAAGAAGCCAACCAAUUUUUGAGUCUUAAGAGACAAACACCUUAUUUAGACUACUUGCAACUAACUAGCAGCCAGAGUACUCUGGGUGAACAGGUAUCCAUUCUUUUCUAAGAUAUUGUAGUGACGUUUGGAGAGAACUAUUAUGAUCUGAAAGGUAGAAAGUUUACUUUUCCUAAAUAUUUUGGCUGACUUUGAGUCAGCCUGAAUUUCCCAGUAUAAUAUGAUAAUACUUCUUUCAGCAAUUUACAAAGAAGAAGCCAUAUCAGUUUGUCUUCAUACAUUGGCAACAGAAAAAGGGUGGGGGGCGGGGGAGAGAAGAAUGGAACAGAACAAAAUGUUGUAGAACUUUAAAGACUAACACAUUUAUUUCAUUGUGACCUUUCAUGGAUCAAAGUCCACUCCCUCAUAAACUGUUAGCCUUUAAAGUGCUACAGUAUUUUUAGUAUUUGCCCUACUUUUCUCCUUCAUGGAUUGCUGCCUUGUCCCUACUUUUCUUUUGUCAACAAGUACCCCUUUCAGGGACUUUCACAAAUGUAAAAAAGGUGGCUACUCGUGUGUGUGUGUGUGUGUGUGUGUGUGUGUGUGUGUGUGUGUGUGAGAGAGAGAGAGAGAGAGAGAGAGAGCCCAAUGUUUACAUAUAGGGAAGUCUUCUUAUAUUCAGAGAAGGUGCCACCAGCAAGCUAGAGUGCAGUGACGUUGCCUUAUUUGAAUUAGAUCCCAGAAUCUGUCCAUGAUGGCUGAGGACUGUAGUCCAAAUAUAGCUGUUAAAAUCUUUCAUGUCCCUUUCUCAUAUGUUCCCAGUACCAUGUUCUAAACAGCUGAAAGGAGCUGGGAAUUCACCUAAAACUGUUAUUCUGAGGAUUAAUUAAAUAAGCACCGUGAAGCAUUUUACAUUAUUGACUCAGCUAUCAGACUAAUCACUGUGGCUGUGUACUCUUAAUCAUAACAUCCUUAUAUACCAAUAGAGGAGCUAUUGGGGGCCUCUUAGGAACAGUUGAGCUUCCUAAUGUGGUCAAGCCUGAAUGUUCCCAUGGAGAUAACUAGUAAAACCUAUAUUUGCCUUAUUUUAAAUGGUCAGUUGAGAAGUUCACCAUGGAUUUAACUGUAGACAGUUUUGUAACUAGCCCUUUAGCAUGCAGGAAAGAAGGAAAGAACAUAAUUUUUUUAUAAAUUUUGCAGGACAUCAGUAAUAGUCCAUUAAACAUGGACUAUUUUUAAGUUCACUUUCCCUGCCCUUCUGCUGAGGAAGUUAUUAUUUUAUCAGUAUCCUGAAGUGGCUUACUUAUUAAGUCACUUCACAAUACUGGCAAAUUCAAUUUCAAAAGCUUGCUUUGGAUUGGCUCCAGCGAUCACAAGCACUGGAACUGAUCCAAAACAGAGCAAUCCUACCUGCACCAAGAAAGUAGAAGUAGAAAAGUAUGGAUAGGAUUGCUCUGGAGGUGGGCUGGUUUGCUCUAACAAAGACAUCCUAUAGUCUGGUAGCAAACCAAAAAGCAGGCUAAACGCAUUUGUAAUCAGUCUCAUAAUCUUCUAUUAAACUUGAAGUCUGUGUCAUAUGUAAAUGUUGUAGAGAACAUGUUUCUGGCUAAACAAAUGCGUAUUCUGCCCUAAACAGGUUAGUGAAGCCUGGACUACACUGAAAAACACAGGACAAUAUUACAUGGAUCUGGGAUAUUCUGUAUUCAGUACCGACACAGCCAGGUAAUUCAUAUGGGAAUAAAAAUAGGUGAUGGCUGGUUUGGCUGUAGUAC